rnacentral:lncRNA from 1 species
AUGGGGGCCUCCUUCCCUCCCUGGGAACCCAUUCUGUUUUUGAUGGACAUGAGCAUUAGAAAGGAAGAUUUCUGUUUUUGUGAACCUGGAAGAUCCUCAGUGAAGGGAAGGGAAGGAGGACUAAACAGAAACAAGGUGGGAAACGUGAACAAACACGAAGCCCCGCCGGGAGGCCUGCGGCUCUGGCCACGUCACUGGCUGUGCUUCAGCAUCCUGUUCAGCGGAACUGGGGCGUCCCUGGGGGCUCAGCUGAUAAAGAACCCACCUGCCAAUGCAGGAGACACAAGAGACGUGGGUUCAGUCCCUGGGUCAGGAAGACCCCCUGGAGGAGGAAAUGCCAACCGCUCCAGUGUUUUUGCCUGGAGAAUGCCGCAAGCCUGGUGGGCUACAUUCCACGGGGUCACAAAGCAUCGGACAUGACUGAACGCACAGGCACGCACGCAAAAUGGAACUGAUGGUUAUAACUCCUGGUUCACAGGACUGCCCGUGCUGAGGACGAUGUGAAAUGCAGUCCUUAAAACAGAUCCAGGUGUGCCACGUGGCUGGGCCUGAAUUAAGAGCUAGUGCUGCCCUCUCCCAGGUGACUCCCGUAGAGGUCCAAUGUUGUUGUUGUUGUUGGGUGGCCCUAUGUGGCACAAUUAUGAGGAUUUGCGGACAUGCUGAAAUUCACCAAAGAUGUGUGCUUGAAAGCAGGCUAGUAAAGUCUCCUGAGUCAGGAAAAGAAGGAAGAUGCUGGAGAGGCAAGGAGGGUGAUAUAGUUUGUGUUCGAGGCGUUUAUGACAAGGUGUCUGCUUGGUCCUCUGAACAACUGGGUCAAGUCAAUGUUAUUUUCCCACCUGUAGAUGUAGGAAGAAGCCUGAGGGAUGUUCAACAACCAGCUCAAGUCCAUAUAGGAUUCAACUCCAGGUCUUCUGGAUGGUAAAGCCUGGGGGAUCUCAGAGAACAUGGGUGGUAAAUCCCACAAGGGAUCCCAGGCAGUUCUGACCAGAGAAUGGGAAGGUCUUCCCUCUUAGCAAGGAUGCUCAGCAAGGCUGUGGCCUUCCAAGCCAGAAGAGUGGUCAGCUCCCUGAAAAGGUGGAUACAGGAAGCAAGGAACUUCCUCAAAGCGUGGAUACAGUUUGGAUCUCUGAGCUGCGUCAGAGAAACGUAUCCUCUAGGUCAGGGUCCUGAUUACAGCCCCGUUUGCCUCAGUUAAAUAUAAUCCACCCUAGGCCAUUUUAGAAGAAGGCAAUGGCACCCCACUCCAGUACUCUUGCCUGGAAAAUCCCAUGGACAGAGGAGCCUGGUGGGUUACAGUCCACGGGGUCACUAAGAGUCGGACAUGACUGAGCGACUUCACUUUCAUCUUUCACUUUCAUGCAUUGGAGAAGGAAAUGGCAACCCACUCCAUUGUUCUUGCCUGGAGAAUCCCAGGGAUGGGGGAGCAUGGUGGGCUGCCGUCUACGGGGUCGCACAGAGUCGGACACGACUGAAGCGACUGAAGUGACUUAGCAGCAGCAGCAGCAGCAGCAGCAGGCCAUUUUAACUUGGCAGAGCGGUAGAAAACGGAUUUCAAGAACAGUUUGAGUCAAGUCAUUUCUUUGUAAGCUACAAAAGAAUCCAGAUUUCAUACUUCUUUAGGUUUAAAUUGAUACUUAAAGGAUUUAAAACUUUCAGAAUUGGUGGUGGUGGUGGCUGGGGGCACAGGUACAAAGCCCAGAAUGGAGAUAGAGCAGUUCUGGAUUCUGGUAUAGCUCUCCUGCCAAGAAUAUCUCCCUGCUUGGAACAGUUGUCAAUGCAAGCGAGUAUUUUAUGGUUUGUCUCUUUGAUUGCCAAUUUCAAAGAAAUCUGAACAUAGAGUGUUUGAAAAACACAUAGAAAUAUAAAGAAGUAGAGAAAAAAAAAUCACCCGUAAUCCUAUCAGUCAGUAAUAACCACUUUAUGUUGUGGUAUUUCUCUCUCUAGAGUUUCUUUCUGGGUUUUUAUUUUUAAAAUAAAUGUGAUACCUGGCUCCAGACCUAUGUACUUCCCAGACUGGAUGAGAUGAGGCCCAUUCCAUCCUGAAACUAUAUACUUUUCUAAAUAUAAAAUCCAAUAUGCUCAUUAGUUCAGUUCAGUCACUCAGUUGUGUCCGACUCUUUGCAACACCAUGGACUGCAGCACGCCAGGCCUCCCUGUCCAUCGCCAACUCCCAGAGUUUACUCAGAUUCAUGUCCACUGAGUCGGUGGUGCCAUCCAACCAUUUCAUCCUCUGUUGUCCCCUCCUCCUCCCGCCUUCAAUCUUUUCCAGCAUCAGAGUCAGUUCUUCGCAUCAGGUGGCCAAAGUAUUGGAGUUUCAGCUUCAGCAUUCAGGACUGAUUUCCUUUAGGAUGGACUGGUUGGAUCUCCUUGCAGUCCAAGGGACUCUCAAGAGUCUUCUCCAACACCACAGUUCAAAAGCAAUUCUUCAGCGCUCAUUAGAGAAAAUCUAAAAGUUUCAGAAAAAAGAAAGAAGGAAAUUAAAUUAAAAUCCCUUUACCCAGAUAAGUAACACUGGAGUGAAUUUCCUUCUUGUCUUUUUUCUUUGCAUUUCUUUGGUUAUAAUAUAUAUUUUUUUUACUUAAUUUUUCAUUCUAUUUUGUUUUAAGUUCAUAUCAUAAGCAUUCUCUCAUGUUAUUGUAUAUUCUCCAUAAACAUGUAUCUUUCAAGGCUACAUAAUAUUCCUUGGGAUGGGUAUUAUAAAACUUAACUAUUUCAUUGUUGAUGAACAUUUGAUUUUCU